AGUCAGGCACACAGGUGGUGGUGCUGUGUGUUUCCUAUCCUCCCCUGACAUGAUUUCAAAGCCCAGAAAAACCAGAAGGCCUAGAGGAAUAAUCAGCCGUCAGAGAAUGGAGUGGAGAAAGACAAAGCACACUGCUUCUGCUAUAAAUAACAACUGAACCACCACAAAAGCUCCUGUAUCAAGUUCUAUUUUACUAUUGGGGAGCCAAGACAAGAGGUCUGGAGGGCCAGAGUCUCAAUCCUCAAGAAUUGGGAUCCAGAGGGGCUUGGAAGUCAUUGUCAGCAUCCAUGAAACCAGGGUCUUGGAAAGAGUUGAUAAGGAAUUCUCAGCAGUAUCAUAAGGUGAAUGCUGAGUGGCGAAUGACCACUUAG
rnacentral:lncRNA from 1 species